GGAUGUGGCUCAGUUGGUGGAGCGUUUGCUUAGCAUGCAUGAAGCCCUGAGUUCAAUCCCCAGCACCA
rnacentral:tRNA from 1 species